GGCUUCGUAGUUCAGCUGGUAGAACGCUUGCCGCGUUGAGGCAUGAUAUUUCUGUCACUGGUUCGAAUUCACUCGAAGCCC
rnacentral:tRNA from 1 species